rnacentral:rRNA from 1 species
GGCGGACGGGUGAGUAACGCGUAAGAACCUGCCCUUGGGAGGGGAACAACAGCUGGAAACGGCUGCUAAUACCCCAUAGGCUGAGGAGCAAAAGGAGGAAUCCGCCCAAGGAGGGGCUCGCGUCUGAUUAGUUAGUUGGUGAGGCAAUGGCUUACCAAGGCGACGAUCAGUAGCUGGUCCGAGAGGAUGAUCAGCCACACUGGGACUGAGACACGGCCCAGACUCCUACGGGAGGCAGCAGUGGGGAAUUUUCCGCAAUGGGCGAAAGCCUGACGGAGCAAUGCCGCGUGAAGGCAGAAGGCCCACGGGUCAUGAACUUCUUUUCUCGGAGAAGAAAAAAUGACGGUAUCUGAGGAAUAAGCAUCGGCUAACUCUGUGCCAGCAGCCGCGGUAAGACAGAGGAUGCAAGCGUUAUCCGGAAUGAUUGGGCGUAAAGCGUCUGUA